ensembl:snRNA U6 U6 spliceosomal RNA
GUGCUGGCUUCAGCAGUACAUAUACUAAAAUUGGACCAUACAGAGAAGAUUAGCAUGGGCUCUGUGCAAGGAUGUCAUGAAAAUUCAUGAAUUGUUUCAUAUUUUU